rnacentral:rRNA from 1 species
UUAUUCAGAACUUGAUGAGAAAUCAUGAGUUAAUGGACUUCAGGGGAAGUAUGGUCACAAGGCUGAAACUUAAAGGAAUUGACGGAAGGGCACACCAGGAGUGGAGCCUGCGGCUUAAUUUGACUCAACACGGGAAAACUUACCAAGACCAAACUUAUUAAGGAAUGACAGAUUAAGAGUUCUUUCAUGAUUAUAAGGUGAGUGGUGCAUGGCCGUUCUUAGUUCGUGGACUAAUUUGUCAGGUUAAUUCCGGUAACGAACGAGACUUAAACCUAUUAAUUAGUUAAAUACCUAUAAGAUAUUUAUAUUGCAAAAUACAUGAAUGUAAAAAUUCAUGACUACUUAAAGGGACACAUUUCAAUCUUUUCUAAUUAAUUAUAUAAUUAUUCUUUUGAAUAAUUAAUUUUUAAAAAGAAAAAAAGAAAAAGGAAGCAUUAAGCAAUAACAGGUCUGUGAUGCCCUUAGACAUC